CCUACGGGUGGCAGCAGUGAGGAAUAUUGGUCAAUGGACGAGAGUCUGAACCAGCCAAGUAGCGUGAAGGAUGACUGCCCUAUGGGUUGUAAACUUCUUUUAUAUGGGAAUAAAACGUUCCACGUGUGGGAUUUUGUAUGUACCAUAUGAAUAAGGAUCGGCUAACUCCGUGCCAGCAGCCGCGGUAAUACGGAGGAUCCGAGCGUUAUCCGGAUUUAUUGGGUUUAAAGGGAGCGUAGGUGGAUUGUUAAGUCAGUUGUGAAAGUUGGCGGCUCAACCGUAAAAUUGCAGUUGAAACUGGCAGUCUUGAGUACAGUAGAGGUGGGCGGAAUUCGUGGUGUAGCGGUGAAAUGCUGAGAUAUCACGAAGAACUCCGAUUGCGAAGGCAGUUCACUGGACUGCAACUGACACUGAGGCUCGAAAGUGUGGGUAUCAAACAGGAUUAGAUACCCUUGUAGUC
rnacentral:rRNA from 1 species